rnacentral:rRNA from 1 species
AACGAACGCUGGCGGCAUGCCUAACACAUGCAAGUCGAACGAGACCUUCGGGUCUAGUGGCGCACGGGUGCGUAACGCGUGGGAACCUGCCCUUAGGUUCGGAAUAACUCCCCGAAAGGGGUGCUAAUACCGGAUAAUGUCAUCGGACCAAAGAUUUAUCGCCUUUGGAUGGGCCCGCGUUGGCUUAGCUAGUUGGUAGGGUAAAAGCCUACCAAGGCGACGAUCCAUAGCUGGUCUGAGAGGAGGAUCAGCCACACUGGGGCUGAGACACGGGCCAGACUCCUACGGGAGGGAGCAGUGGGGAAUAUUGGACAAUGGGGGAAAGCCUGAUCCAGCAAUGCCGCGUGAGUGAUGAAGGCCUUAGGGUUGUAAAGCUCUUUUACCCGGGAUGAUAAUGACAGUACCGGGAGAAUAAGCACCGGCUAACUCCGUG